UGAUGAUAACUUGUUUUGUUUGCAAGCGCAAAAGAGGCAUCCGCAGCUGGAGUUGCAGCUGCAAGUAACGUCUGUAACGUUUACUCGCGUAAUCGAGGUGUUCCGCGUAGAAAUAGCGGCCAAGUUUUGGAAACGGACGCUUUCGUCAAGGAGUUGCGUCUUGAUGCGAAGAUGUUUCCCCUCUCGUCAUUUCUUAUGAACCGAUGGGUUACCACAUAGCCAUAAGUUUUGCAAGUAAGUUGUUGGUCUCGGCCGAAGUUGCGGUCAUGUAAACUGAGAGGGACAACUGAUAUCUUUGGACAGAGACGAAAUAGGUGCCGUCGCUCGUGUGUGCAAACCAUUGUUUUCGUUCAUCGAAACAGCAGAACUGAAUUUGACACCUGUCGACGGUUUUCUGUCAGUUCUUUAUUUCACUGCACAAGUUUCGUAAGUGCGCCUGUUUGUUUGGUUGACUUGUUUGCCAUGCAGCCAAGCUAAGUUGCCAUCAAUGAAAAUUAGCUCGCUCACACCUUUAUGCCAGGUACGCUUGCUUUCUCUUUAUUUUUCGUUCAACAGAUUGCGACAUCAUGUGCUCUUGUAUGAAGGGGAACCUUUGCUGAGCCGACGGUGUCUUACGGUUGGUUCUCUAACCAACGUACCAUAGCCAUGAGUCAUGUGGAUCUGAAAGUGGUUCUUCUAGGCAAAGAAUACGGUGGCAAGACCAGCCUAGUCGAGCGCUACCUCUACGACCGUUUCGAUGCAUCUACUCCUUAUCAAAAUACAAUAGGCGCUGCUUAUGGUGCGAAGCAGAUCGCCGUACGUAAUCGGAGGAUCACCCUUGGAAUCUGGGAUACUGCUGGCAGUGAGAGGUAUGAGGCCAUGAGUCGAAUCUACUAUCGGGGGGCUGGUGCUGCUAUUGUGUGCUUUGACCUCACUGACCGGGAAAGCUACCAGAAGGCAAAGUUCUGGGUGAAUGAGCUGCGCAAGCAUGAAGAGAAGUGCCAAAUUUUUCUUUGUGGCACAAAAAAUGAUUUAAUCAAAGAAGAAGGAAAGUACAGGGCAAUAAAUCACCAUGAUGUGCUGGAUUAUGCUGAUGAAAUUGGGGCCAAAAUGUUUGAAACCUCUAGCAAGACAGGAGAAGGCAUUGGUAGAUGUUGGACAAGGCGUAGUAGUGUGAGCAAAGCAGGGAGUGCAGGAGCUUUAGAGACUCAAUGUGAUGCUGGCAGAGGAGUCAAGCCUAGAACAUCCUUAUGAGUGAGACGAUGCUGAACUCUUUUGUCAGAUUGCUAAGGACCAUAUAGAGACCAUGUCCACGUCAAGGAACAAACCAGGUGCCAACUUUAGGCUUGAAGAACCAGCUUCACAAGGCGGAGGAUGCUGUUGAGCCGUAGUUUCCUGAAGGUCUAUCAAUUGUUGCAAAGAGCGGAGGUUAUUCAUCAAGCAUUAUAAACAUCGCCCCCUGCGCUGAUCUAGUCACAGUGGGCUCUGCAAAGACCAUUUAUGUCCUUACUCAUCCCUCACGUGACUUUUUGGAGUGCCUUGAUCAAAUGUAGGUGUUGUUUAAGAAGUAUUGCAAGAAUCUUCUCCAUGUUUAGAUUGUGCUGUGAGUGUUUUGUGAAAUAGCAUAUCUCUGCUAUGUAGUUGAUUUUGCAUACAAAGAUAUACCUUUAUAUUGUGACAUUAUUUGCUAAUAAGCCAAUAGAAUUUGUAAGGUGGUAUAGUAAGCAGGAUUAAACUUUCGGAUGUGGGAAUAUUUGGGAUAGUGUGCAUUGUUGCAGUAUUUGUAGGAAUGACCAAAAGUUCAAGCGCAGUAAUUUUAUUUUGAGCGUAUGCAUUUGGCUCACUAUGAUGUGUAGCAGUGUACGUGCAUGGAAGUGCGUUUUUAACGUUCUGUACAAUUUAUGUAUCUGUUCUUGUGAAAUGGCGCAAUAAAUUGCACAUUAUUUUGUCCGAA